AAAGAUAGUACACUGUCCUUCCAGAAUGCUUUCGGAAACCUUGAACUUUUGCCAUGACAAAAUUGUCACAGUGACUCUCUAAUCCUAAACACAUAGUGUCAGAAAAUGUCUUCUACUCUCUGGAACCUCAGAAAUGGUGGAUCAGACAAGAACUGGCAAAGAUUUGGAGAGGUCGGUCUUCUCUUAUCCCAUUCUCUCUCAGCCAAGAACUUGAGGUUCAUGAAGACCAGGAUAUUUAAUGGCACUGUCCACUGCUGUGUACAGUUUUUGGCACAAAGUGCCUACAGGAUAAAUGGAUGCUCUUGACCAUGAAGCUGCAAUAUUCACCUGGCCCAGUUGCUGGAGAAGCUGAAAGGGGAGAUCUGGAAGGAGCUGGGGGAGUUUGGGGCCUACUCCAACAACAGGGUAAACCAGGAGAUCAGCAACAACAGGCAUAAGCUGCAAAAGCUCCUGAACUCACACUUUCUAGAAUUCACCUUUCUAUAACAAAUGUGAGUGCUGCUUUCCUGUCAUCUUUUAAUUAUAUGCAGAUUUCAAAUAUAUGCAGAUUCCAAGUUCCAAUUCUAACUUGGAAAACUAUAUGGAACACAAAUGUGGGAAAUGGAGUUUCAGUUAAGCCAAACUAACACACAAGAAAGCAACAAUAUUUCAUGUAAUUUUGUAAUUUUAAUGUAUGUGUCCUUUAAAUUGUGGACUUUGAAUUAAUAAUGAAAUUUCAGGUUGUGGAAUGUUAUCUUAUGAUUUUGAAUACAUCCUAGAACUUUAC